ensembl:lncRNA
CUGCUCUAUCUGAGUUGGUUGCAGGUAAGAGAUCCCAAAGUCUCUCUGAGAAUUUUUUUGCAAACGAUUUGAAGGUCAUUAAUGGGGAGUAAAGAAGAUACAGCUUCGGAAGAUAAAUCUUGUCAGAACUGACUCUUGAGAAAACUAUUUCAACUAUCAGAGGCUUGGAAAGCAGAACUUCAAUUUUAUUCUUUGAAUGGCACAAGGAGGGAGGAAGAAGGACAAGGAAGGAGGAUGAGGAAGGAAGAAGAAGAAGGAAGGGAGAGGAAAGAAAAAGAAGAAGGAGGAAGGAGGAGGAAAGAAGAAGGAAGAGGAAGAAGAAGGAAGAAGAAGAAGAAAGAAGAAGAUGAUUAUGAUGUAAAGGGAACUUCUGUAUUAGGUCAAAGAUCCAUCUAAGCAAGGCUCCUGUCUCCAGCAUCUGGAAGCAGAUGAGCAGAGCAGAAUGGAAGAGCACCGCUAGUGUUGGCAUCCAUAUCUAAGCGAUCUGAAGCUCUGGGACUUACUAAAGAUCUCAACUAACAUGGUGAUGAUGGAAAAUUUCAAACUUCUGACUGAGAAAUAUUAACUUAGCCUUCUCCACUAAGAAUUUUUGAGUUUAGCAAGGGUUUGAAACUCAGAUGAAGGGAAAAUGGUGAAAAUAUAAGGGAAUACAAUUAGUACUUUAGGCUUGCAAUUUGUUUGUUUGUUUGUUUGUUUCUUAUGAGAUAGCUAAAUGGACUGGAAUUCACAUAAAAUAAAAAUGCCUGUGUGGCUGUACAUCUUAAAACAAUGUAGAUUUUAAGACUGUAUUAUGAAAACUUUGCUGAAUAGUACAUUUACGAUUUAAUUAUCUUGGAAAUUGUUGUGAAUAUCAAAAGUUUACAUUCGCUAAUGACUUUCAUAAGCCAGUAACUUUCAUCAGUCAUGAUCAUUAAACCAAGUGUCAAAGUUUCUCUGAGUUGCUCUGCGGUGCAACUGAUAACAUUUUCAUUCCAGAUUAUAGGGUCCCAAGAGUGUCACCUGUCUGUGAUGACUAUUAAUGUCUGUUUCAGCAGUGUAAGGAAACAACCAUUCAUUAUCAGAGUACACCUGCAUGCUAUUGUCUACAAAUGAGAACAUCUGAACAAAAAGCUCUCUUUAAAACCUCCUCUCCCUAUGAGAGAAUAAUUCCACCUCCAAUUUUAGCAGUCAAAUCUCAUUAGCCUUGCAGUGGGAAAAGGAGUAAAGUAGAGAUGCCAAUUCCUGAUCUUCAAGGCUGAAAUGUUUCCUAAAUGGCAAAACAUUGGCAACAGUAGGCACAACCAUAAGAGUAACAACUGCCUUUCAAACAGGGGAAAAGUGUUUGGAACAAAUAUAUUGCCUAUCUCUAAUCUAACUGACUAUAAAUCUUCAAAAUU